UACGUAGGGGGCUAGCGUUGUCCGGAAUCAUUGGGCGUAAAGAGCGUGUAGGCGGUCCGGUAAGUCCGCUGUGAAAGUCAGGGGCUCAACCCUUGAAAGCCGGCCGAUACUGUCGGACUAGAGUCCGGAAGAGGCGAGUGGAAUUCCCGGUGUAGCGGUGAAAUGCGCAGAUAUCGGGAGGAACACCGGUGGCGAAGGCGGCCACCUGGACGGUAACUGACGCUGAGACGCGAAAGCGUGGGGAGCAAACAGGAUAGAAACCCUAGGUAGUCCAA
rnacentral:rRNA from 1 species